AGAGGUUUGAUCAUGGCUCAGGAUGAACGCUAGCGGCAGGCCUAAUACAUGCAAGACGAACGGUAAGUUGAGUAGCAAUACUUAGCCAAGAGUGUCGUACGGGUGCGUAACACGUAUGCAACCUACCCUAUACAGGAGGAUAGCCUAGGGAAACCUGGAUUAACCCUUCAUAGUAUUAUUGGAUGGCAUCAUUUGAUAAUUAAAACUGAGGUGGUAUAGGAUGGGCAUGCGUCUGAUUAGUUAGUUGGCGGGGUAAUGGCCCACCAAGACGAUGAUCAGUAGGGGGUUCUGAGAGGAAGAUCCCCCACACUGGCACUGAGAUACGGGCCAGACUCCUACGGGAGGCAGCAGUAGGGAAUAUUGGUCAAUGGAUGCAAGUCUGAACCAGCCAUGCCGCGUGCAGGAAGAAGGCCUUCUGGGUUGUAAACUGCUUUUGCCAGGGGAUAAAAUUUCCAUGCGUGGAAAACUGAAGGUACCUGGUGAAUAAGCCACGGCUAACUACGUG
rnacentral:rRNA from 1 species